UACGGGGGGGGGCAAGCGUUGUUCGGAAUUACUGGGCGUAAAGGGCUCGUAGGUGGCCAACUAAGUCAGACGUGAAAUCCCCAGGCUCAACUUGGGAACUGCGUCUGAUACUGGAUGGCUUGAAUUCGGGAGAGGGAUGCAGAAUUCCAGGUGUAGCGGUGAAAUGACGUAGAUAUCUGGAGGAACACCGGUGGCGAAGGCGGCAUCCUGGACCAAUAUUGACGCUGAGGAGCGAAAGCUAGGGGAGCAAACGGG
rnacentral:rRNA from 1 species